rnacentral:misc_RNA from 1 species
GAAAUGCGAUACGUAGUGUGAAUCGCAGGGAUCAGUGAAUCAUCGAAUCUUUGAACGCACAUUGCGCCCCCUGGUAUUCCGGGGGGCAUGCCUGUCCGAGCGUCAUUGCUGCCCUUCAAGCCCGGCUUGUGUGUUGGGUCGUCGUCCCCCCGUGGGACGGGCCCGAAAGGCAGCGGCGGCACCGUGUCCGGUCCUCGAGCGUAUGGGGCUUCGUCACCCGCUCGAUCAGGGCCGGCCGGGCGCCUGCCGGCGUUCUACCAACCUUAUUUCUCCAGGUUGACCUCGGAUCAGGUAGGGAUACCCGCUGAACUUAAGC